rnacentral:rRNA from 1 species
UACGUAGGGUGCAAGCGUUAAUCGGAAUUACUGGGCGUAAAGCGUGCGCAGGCGGUUGUGCAAGACAGAUGUGAAAAUCCCCGGGCUCAACCUGGGAAUUGCAUUUGUGACUGCAAGACUAGAGUUUGGCAGAGGGGGGUAGAAUUCCACGUGUAGCAGUGAAAUGCGUAGAUAUGUGGAGGAACACCGAUGGCGAAGGCAGCCCCCUGGGUCAAAACUGACGCUCAUGCACGAAAGCGUGGGGAGCAAACAGG